GCCUAACACAUGCAAGUCGAACGAUGAACCACUUCGGUGGGGAUUAGUGGCGAACGGGUGAGUAACACGUGGGCAAUCUGCCCUGCACUCUGGGACAAGCCCUGGAAACGGGGUCUAAUACCGGAUAUGACCAUCUUGGGCAUCCUUGAUGGUGUAAAGCUCCGGCGGUGCAGGAUGAGCCCGCGGCCUAUCAGCUUGUUGGUGAGGUAAUGGCUCACCAAGGCGACGACGGGUAGCCGGCCUGAGAGGGCGACCGGCCACACUGGGACUGAGACACGGCCCAGACUCCUACGGGAGGCAGCAGUGGGGAAUAUUGCACAAUGGGCGAAAGCAAGAUGCAGUGCAGCGGCGUGAGGGAAGACGGCAUUCGGGUUGUAAACCUAUUUCAGCAGGGAAGAAGCGAAAGUGACGGUACCUGCAGAAGAAGCGCCGGCUAACUACUGCCAGCAGCCGCGGUAAU
rnacentral:rRNA from 1 species